UAUCAAUAAGCGGAGGAAAAGAAACCAACAGGGAUUGCCUCAGUAACUGCGAGUGAAGCGGCAAAAGCUCAAAUUUGAAAUCUGGCGUCUUUGGCGUCCGAGUUGUAAUUUGGAGAGGCAUCUUCGGAGAUGGCGCUGUCCUAAGUUCCUUGGAACAGGACAUCACAGAGGGUGAGAAUCCCGUGCCUGGAUGGCUGUCCAUCUCCAUGUGAAGAGUCUUCGACGAGUCGAGUUGUUUGGGAAUGCAGCUCAAAAUGGGUGGUAAAUUUCAUCUAAAGCUAAAUAUUGGCGAGAGACCGAUAGCGCACAAGUAGAGUGAUCGAAAGAUGAAAAGCACUUUGAAAAGAGAGUUAAAAAGUACGUGAAAUUGUUGAAAGGGAAGCGCUUGAGACCAGACUCAAUCUUUGGUGAUCAGCUGUGCUUCUGCGCAGUGCACUUGCUAUUGAUUGGGCCAGCAUCGGUUCCGACGGUGGGAUAAAAGGCGGAGGAAUGUAGCUUCCUUCGGGGAGUGUUAUAGCCUCCGUCACAAUGCCAUCAGUUGGGACCGAGGACCGCGCUUCGGCUAGGAUGCUGGCGUAAUGGUCUUAAGCGACCCGUCUUGAAACACGGACCAAGGAGUCUAACAUCUAUGCGAGUGUUCGGGUGGAAAACCCUUGCGCGUAAUGAAAGUGAACGGAGGUGGGAACCCGCAAGGGUGCACCAUCGACCGAUCCUGAUGUCUUCGGAAGGAUUUGAGUAAGAGCAUAGCUGUUGGGACCCGAAAGAUGGUGAACUAUGCCUGAAUAGGGUGAAGCCAGAGGAAACUCUGGUGGAGGCUCGCAGCGGUUCUGACGUGCAAAUCGAUCGUCAAAUUUGGGUAUAGGGGCGAAAGACUAAUCGAACCAUCUAGUAGCUGGUUCCUGCCGAA
rnacentral:rRNA from 1 species